GUGUGGUGGCCUGGCAUUCAAUCUGUGAGGUGGAUGCGUGUUGGAAGGACCCCUUUUGGUUUCUUUUUGCUCAGAGCUUUCUUUUAAUAAAUUCCGCUCUCCUCACCUUUCAAUGUGUCCGUAUGCCUAAUUUUUCCUGGUCCUGUGACAAGAACCUGAUUUUAGCUGAACUAAGGAGCGAAAGAUCCUGGAUCAUUUUGGUGACCCAUACUGGUACAUGAGGAAAGGUCACAAAACCCUCCUGUGAGAGGAACCCUCUGUGGAAGAACAGAAUAUGUCACCCCAAAAUAUGAAGAAUUGUUGAGCUGAAGAUGAUUAAGAAGAAGCGGAUGCAGGAAAGCUCUCUGCUCUCCCUCUAUUUGCUUAAAAGCAGGAUAAACACUUACAAAGACUAAAGGGGUCCAUUCCAACUAAGAAACUAUGGGGGACCAGGCAUGGUGGCUCACGCCUAUAAUCCCAGCACUUUGGGAGGCCAAGGCCGGCAGAUCACGAGACGCCACAAUCAAGAACUCAGAAGGGUAGAAGAAAAAGAUAGUUUCCCUUCCCUACACAGGGUCCAUGCAUUCAGUGGAGUAAUGAUUCCUGUCCAUGAAAAAAAAAAAAGAAAGUAGAAAAUUUCAGAGAAGAGAAAAAUUUUCCACUUGGGAGCAAGGGCAUGAGGGCAGCGGGGAAGUGGUAGAUAUACUGACAUGUUAAUAUAUUAGGUCUUGUAUUUCUUUUGUACAUAGUCUUUCUUCUUUGACUGCCUCGUUCAUGCAUCUCCACUACUUGAAAAAUUAUUUAAUUUACAAGCAUGUGCCAAAGUCCUACAUCAUGCUUCCUCUAAGAUUCUAUGCAAGCCAAUUCAAAGAUUUCUCUCUUAAAAAUAUUUGUAUGAAAAAAAGACAUGGCUAGGAAAUCACUGUUCAGUAGGAUAAAAUAAAAGUGC
rnacentral:lncRNA from 1 species